GUUUGGAUAGCCACAAGUUUGAAGAGCAGAGUGAAUAUGUUUGUGUUCCCUUCUUUUUCCAUCCGCUUCUGAUGGGAUGUUCUGUGCUCUGUGCUCUUGGAUGAGAGGUGAAACGUUUUCGACUCACACGAGAUCAUUGUCCACCUGUGAGGGAGGAGUCACAUGACCUCGGCAUCAUCAAGUGACCAGCCUCAGGUGUAGAGGAAGCCUGUGGGUGAGUGUUGUCCUCCAUCCAUCCUGACAGAUGCUUCCUGUGGAGCUUUUUGGAUCCGAGUUUGAAGAGUUCUUCACGAAAAAUGUUUUUAUUACUACAGGGGUUCAUCGUAAAACUCCAACAGCACCAUUGGGUUUUCAGAACGUGACGUCAGCUGUUUCACCUGUCAGUCACCUGGUGCAGGCGGGGAAACACCUGUCCUCAGCGGCUGAGCGCUGUCUGCGCAU
ensembl:lncRNA